CCGAGAUCGAAUGGCGUGCAAAUCCACAAGGGCGGGUAGAGUGGUACCGACACUCCAUUCAGCAAUUUUGAUUGUCCGUUGGAGUUGGAGUUUGUCCUUUUUUUGUGGCGGCCCCAAACCAGAUUGUGAUGGAGAGAGAGAGCUGAAGCCAAUCCCAGCUAACUUCGGGCAGCGGCAGACUACACACCGAACUGGUUGCCAGCUAGUCGCAGUGCAGAUGUCGACACAAUCACUGAGCGGAUAAUACAUGGAGUGGAUGUGGAGUUUUAAAGGCGGAGCCCGUGGCCUGGGCGCUAACCGACAAAAGCAAGGAAGUCAUGUUCAUCAGGCCCAAGAAGCUGAUCCGCACAUUGGCCGCCCUGGCCCUUGGUUACGUGGACAUCAGGACUUUGGCAACCAAGUGGGUCCAUGUCAGCUAUGCCUUGUGGAUCCCAGAUGUGAGCAAUGGGAACCAGAGAAGAUGGAGUCUGUCACCAAUGUGUCGCACAUUCCCACCAACAGGUGGGUGCUCAACUGCUGCCUGUGUUAAGAAAAGAUAGGAGCUUACAUUCAGUGCUCCGCCAAAAACUGCCGCAUUGACAUCACCCAGGACGACAAAGUCAAGUUCAAGUACCACUGGCCCAAGCACUCGGGCCUUCAGGGCAGCGACUCUGUGGAGCGGGACUCCAUUGCUGAGGUAGAAAAUGAGGAAAGCAUCAGGAGCAAGAAGGGCAAACAGAGAGAAAGGAUUUGAGGGAGCAAUGAAGCGGACACCGCCGCCUUCGGUCUCAUCCCUUUCGUCUCGUCAUCCCCCUUGUCGUUGCAGUCGUCCUUGUGUCGUGUUCAUCAAGACAACGUGGAGGAAAAGCACAACAACGUCCGCAAGAUGAUAUUGCAAGAGAUGGAUGAGGUCUUCUACCAGUUUGUGGAUGCCGAGGAAGUGGGCUGUCACCUCAAGAUGGCGCCUGAGACUGAACAAUUGCAUUAUUUUGGAAAAAAAGUACAUGAGAAAAAUUUGAACAUUUUGAACAGUAUUAUGAAUGUGUAUUUUCAUUUACAGUUGCAAGUGGGAACUUCCCAGAAUGAAAGUGCAGUUA